CACCUACUUCAGUGUAAUGGGUCCCUUCCACUUCUGAGUCAGCAAUCAAGUGACAUCGGGGGCAGGAUUUUUUUUCCAGAUUCACUCUGCUCCCUCCUUCUCACUGGUCUCAAGAAGUUGUUUUUCUGAUUAUUUGUGUUUCAUAGUUAUAUCUGAGCAAUUGCAAAAUUGCUCUAAAAAUAAAAAAUAAAAAAUUACAGAAGUGAAAAAAUGGGGUAACAAGGGUAUUUAGGGUAUGACCACAGGACCUCAAAUAGUUGAAUUGUAACAAUUGUGCAUAUGAAGAGAGAUGCAACAUCAAAGGUACUCAUCCAAGUAUGUAUUCAUUGAUAGCACAACUGCAAUGGAAUAGCUUCAUGCAAUAAAGCCUUUAGUCUGAACUUCAAAUAUAGUGUCCAAGGUACUGAACUCUAUUCCUGUAAAUAGGGAGAGAAUAUUGGAUAGCUUCUUUAAAUUUCAGACUAAAACAUAUAGAUUUGCCGCCCCUCAGAGAAGAAGCUGCUAGUUUCUAUUGCUUCAAACGUCUUUGAGCAGAGUCUGGACAUGACCCACCAAUCCUGUUGUUUCUCAGCAAGCCCAAUGGAAAAAUGACUUGAUGUGGCCCAAAAGGCAGCCUUUUAAAGAAUUCUUCUCUUUUGGUUUAAAUUAGCAAGAAGCAACAGAGAAGCAGUAUAAAAAGUAUGGACAGUUAUUACAGUUGUGCUCUCCCCAAAGUGUUAUUUCACAAUCUUAAACCUAUAAAAUUCAAUCACAUGGUAGCCUGAGAGAAAACUCUGAAGGAGUCAAUUUAUUUGGAACUUCCCCAGACAUAUUUCAGUCUUGAUUGGACAUCCUGAUAUACAACAUAAAAUUUUAUAUAGGUUAUUUGAUACUCAUGGUCCAUGAAUUAUAUAGGAUGAUUUUUGAUAUAUUCAGUGCCUUUCUAGCAAACUGCAAUAUGCCUUGAAGCAUGCAGAGAUUUCUGCUACAUUUGCAGCAAAUCCCUUAUGGUUAGACAGUUCUAGAGAUAGGUUAUAUACAUAGCAACUACUGAAUCUUUGAAGAAAUGAUAAAUGAGAGUGCAAUGAUAAAGGAAAUGUUCCUUUUACAGUUGCAAUUGUGUGUGUGUGUGUGCCUUCAAGUUGCCUGUUGACUUACAGUGCUCCCAUUAAUUUCAUAGGGUUUUCUUAGGCAAGGGAUACUCAGAGCACCAGGCAUUUCUUGGCAGUCUCCCAUUCAAGUACUACUCAGGGUAAACCUUGCUUACUUUCAAGAUCAGAUGGAAUCUGGUGACUUUAGUGUAUUUAAGUUAGUACUUCAAUGGUAUACUGCCAACACAAAAUUGUUAAAUUACUAGCAGCUUGGAAGGGCUGCCUUCUUUGUAUCUUGAUAGUCUCUGUAUUCAGCAUUAGACACCACAUAGAUAUCUUUCAUUCAUUUCAGGUAACUAAAAUUUGGAGCUAUUAACCAUGGAACCUUUGCUGGAAUUCAGAUGGGAUCUAUAAAUUAAGGAAAACAGAAGGGUAUGAAAAUGAGAAUGGAAGAGAGAAGAAAUAGUACAAAAGCAUGAGAAGCAUUUUCAGUAUGCUAUAUGAGAAAUUGGCCUUUAAAUAUUGAUGCAGUUGUUAUCUUCUCUCCAAAGUUCAAAACAGAUAUGAGGUGAAGGAAUGAAGCAAUGGAGGUGGAAUUUCCCACCUUUAUUCUGGCUGCAGCUAGCAGAGUGACAGGUGCUUUUAUUGUUGCCUUCUCUACUGAUGUGACUUGUAUUUUAUUACACCAUUUUCUUCUCUUCAAGUCCCCCACAUCUAGCCAGCCUUAUAAUCUACAGUUGCAGUUGCAGUAGUAGUUGCAGUUGCAGUCCCAGGAUAUCAUCUUAGAGGAAAUAGAGUCACCUCAGUUAAGAGCCACUUUAUCAAUGCAGGAGAAUGAACUAUCCCUCCAUAUUUUUUUUUAAAUAAAGGCAUGAGGAAACAA